AAUGGCAAUGGCGACAAUGAUGAUGGUGAUGAUGACGGCGACGACGGGGGGCGUCUAGCCUCUUUUUAAUGAAGUAAUAAGGAGCACAACCACGGGGGAUUUGUACAAAACCAAUGACCUUUCAAAGCUGUCUUAUUACCUGCAAUCAUUCCAUCCACUCCUCCUCUUCCUCCUCCUUCACCUUUUCCUUCUCAUCCUCCUUUUACAUCCAGUUUGCCACCGUGGUGCUCCCCCAAAGGAAGGGUUCGGAUGCUUUGAUUGGAGAAUGAGGGGCACCAUGCUUUAUUCCUCCAUAAGUGUUUGUUACAGUAUUGCGUGUGGAUGUGUGCAUAAGUGUGUGAUGCAGUAUUUUUUUUUUUUAUUUUGUUUUGUACCGUUUUCGUUUUUUCAUACAUGUUACAAGUCAUUUUUAGUGUCAUGAGGAAAAUCCGAAAAAAAAAAAGAAAAAAAAAAACAUUUAGAUGAAGUAAUUGGUGCCAUACGGUUAGGUUCUGCCAGUGUAUGCUUAUAGGGAACAAAAAGGGAGCUGCCGCGAAGGAAGCAUGGCAUUGUGGGUGAUUCACAGGUCCAAUUAUUGUUUGUCUCGCGUCUGUGUCAUCACAUGAGUCAUAUAGAAAUGGGUGCUCAGAAGAUUUCACCAGCUGCACCGCUCGAAUCCAGCAGCACUGUGUGGUUUUUGUAGGCUUUGUCAUGUCGUCUUUUUAAUUUUUUAAUUUUAUUUUUUUAACUUUUCAGUGCUGUAGAUGAAGUUUCCUCCCCCGAACCUGGACGUACGUCCUUUCUAACAGAAUGGUGAAAUGUAGAUUUUGAAAAUUUUUGACCUGUGAUGACUAAUACAGUUUUUUUCUUUCUUUCUUUCCUCUUACAGUGCUGUGCAAGUAUGUGAAAUUGCCAGUGCAAUCAGAUAGAAUAUGGUUUUCUGUAAAUACAAGCUCUGUCACUACUUGAUUUUUAAAUGGAAUGUAACUUUGCGUACAGAAUUAUGAAUUCAACUCAACUUCAAGGGGCACAGAAAACAAAAAUUAAAGGAUUAAAAAAAAACAAGCAGCUGUUGUUUUUAUUAUUAUUGUUUCAAUUAAACAGGGCUGUGGAGAGUUUUGGAGCUUAAUCUGCAUUUUUUAAAUACAUUUGGAAUAUUUAAUUGCUUAAUUAAAUUAAGUCCAGAUUGAGUGUACCUGACUGAAUUAAAAAAAAAUAAAUAAACAAUCUGUUUUUUGGGGUUUUGGCA
rnacentral:lncRNA from 1 species